rnacentral:hammerhead_ribozyme from 1 species
AUCCAGCUCACGAGUCCCGAAUAGGACGAAACGCGCGUCAAACUGGAU